AGAGAAGCGUGUGCCUUUUCUGCACACUUGUAUAGACGCGCACACACGAGAGUAGAGGCGCGUGUGCCUUU
rnacentral:pre_miRNA from 1 species